AUUGAACGCUGGCGGCAUGCUUUACACAUGCAAGUCGAACGGCAGCGCGGGCUUCGGCCUGGCGGCGAGUGGCGAACGGGUGAGUAAUGCAUCGGAACGUGCCCAGCAGUGGGGGAUAGCCCGGCGAAAGCCGGAUUAAUACCGCAUACGACCUGAGGGUGAAAGCGGGGGACCGAAAGGCCUCGCGCUAUUGGAGCGGCCGAUGUCGGAUUAGCUAGUUGGUGGGGUAAAGGCUUACCAAGGCGACGAUCCGUAGCUGGUCUGAGAGGACGACCAGCCACACUGGGACUGAGACACGGCCCAGACUCCUACGGGAGGCAGCAGUGGGGAAUUUUGGACAAUGGGGGCAACCCUGAUCCAGCCAUGCCGCGUGCGGGAAGAAGGUCUUCGGGUUGUAAACCGCUUUUGUUCGGGAAGAAAUCCUCUGGGCUAAUACCCCGGGGGGAUGACGGUACCGGAAGAAUAAGCACCGGCUAACUACGUG
rnacentral:rRNA from 1 species